rnacentral:rRNA from 1 species
CCUACGGGUGGCUGCAGUAAGGAAUAUUGGUCAAUGGACGCAAGUCUGAACCAGCCAUGCCGCGUGCAGGAAGACGGUCCUCUGGAUUGUAAACUGCUUUUGUUAGGGAAGAAACCCUCGGAUGCGUUCGAGGCUGACGGUACCUAAAGAAUAAGGAUCGGCUAACUCCGUGCCAGCAGCCGCGGUAAUACGGAGGAUCCAAGCGUUAUCCGGAUUUAUUGGGUUUAAAGGGUGCGUAGGCGGCGUUGUAAGUCAGUGGUGAAAGUUUGCAGCUU